rnacentral:rRNA from 1 species
UACGUAGGGGGCAAGCGUUAUCCGGAAUUACUGGGUGUAAAGGGAGCGUAGACGGUAAUGUAAGUCUGGAGUGAAAGGCGGGGGCCCAACCCCCGGACUGCUCUGGAAACUAUGUUACUAGAGUGCAGGAGAGGUAAGCGGAAUUCCUAGUGUAGCGGUGAAAUGCGUAGAUAUUAGGAGGAACACCAGUGGCGAAGGCGGCUUACUGGACUGUAACUGACACUGAGGCACGAAAGCGUGGGGAGCAAACAGG